GCCCACUUUUCGAAUGACAGCCGGGUGGACCAGCCAAGGGUUAGUGGUUACCACGGUGAUCUUUCAGCGUGGUGGGCGGAGGGGGGUCUACAUACUUCUUCUAACUGCAUUAAUUGCUCAUUUAUUUAGGGCAAUUAGUCCCUGGGCGACCCUCCCUUCUUUGACCCUUCAAGGGCUAUUCUCAAUUCACACAACAUUGCCCCAAGACGAGGCGGGGCCUGGUCCAGAACGAAUGGGAGGGGGCAGGAGGCCAGGGAAAGGGACAGAAGCGUCCGAAGUCCUGGGUCCUGUCACUGCCUCUGGAUGGCUGCACCCCCUCUGCUCCGCUGUCCUCCCUGGCCGGCUGUCCUGGUUAGCUCCUCCCUGCAACAGCCCUGCAACAGCCGCAGCUCCCAGGGGCUCUUUCCUGUCCUGCCAGGUGCCACUGUGUCCCGCCAGGUUGGAAGGAGUUUCCAGAACUCUGAUCAGUGAAGUAGAGGAAGCUCCUUCGAUUGAGAGGAGGGGACAGAGACUUCCUCCAGCCCCUUGCCCCCCAACCCCAUUCAUACGAGGCCCUUUGCCUAGACUUUCUCCCGGGGUAGGCACAGCUGCAACCUCUCUGGUCUUUAUUACGCCCUUGCCCGCAGGUGCCCACACCGCUAUCUCCACCGAAGACUCCCAAGUCUCCCUGCCCUCCCUGACAUGCCUGUGCCACCCUCUCCCGGCUUAGGUUCAGAGCUCCUGCAGCUCCGGGGAAGGACCUCCUCAUACGUUGUUCCCAUCCUUCCCCCUAGAAGCUCCCGGAGGAUGGGGACCCUGUCCCCUGUCCCCUUCACCUGAAGCCCCGCUGUCUGGCUCAAGCAGGGCCUGGCAGGAGCAGGAGGGAGAAAACGAGGGUGGGCUGAGGCUGGCCUGGGUGUGCAAGUUCUCUGGAUCAUCACACUGGCCCCCAACACACACACACACACACACACACACACACACACACACACACGGCCUGACACGGGCUG
rnacentral:lncRNA from 1 species